rnacentral:rRNA from 1 species
UGCCAGCCGCCGCGGUAACACGGGGGGCGCAAGCGUUAUUCGGAAUUACUGGGCGUAAAGCGCGCGUAGGCGGUUUGUUAAGUCAGCUGUGAAAGCCCUGGGCUCAACCUGGGAACUGCAGUUGAUACUGGCCGACUAGAGUACGAGAGAGGGAGGUAGAAUUCCACGUGUAGCGGUGAAAUGCGUAGAUAUGUGGAGGAACAUCAGUGGCGAAGGCGGCUCCCUGGCCAAAGACUGACGCUCAUGUGCGAAAGUGUGGGUAGCGAACAGGAUUAGAUA